CUCUAGGGUAGUACCUCCCUGAAUGGCAAUGAAUGAUCGAUCCCAUUACAUGUUCCAAGUUGCAGGUACAGCUGGGGCAGGGGCUGGAGCACACAGUCUCGUGCAUUCCUGACGUCACCAGGCAUAUGUUACAUACUGUGAAGAGACCAGAAUUGUCAGCAGUUGAGUGGAAGAAGCUGAAGCACUAUAGCAUUUCCUAGUUGCCACUGGUGUUUACUGGCAAACGGACGUCAUUUGCAUUGGAACUUCAAACACGGAGUGUUCUAAUUUAGUGCCUAGGCUACGUUAUAAAAACGACUUCUGUGGCCGAGAGCUCUUUUUGGAGGGAACAUGG